GGGGAAGCUGAGAGCCAGAGCCACGCUCAGAGGAUUCCUAAGACACUGACACAUAAACAUCAACCAGAACCACAACUCAGCUGUGUGUCCUUUAAGAGCGACUGGUCAAAGAAUAAUUUCAUUGACUUCAAAUCUUCAGGACCUGCAUCCUCAGAGAGGAUUCCUAAGAGACUGACACGUAAACAUCAACCAGAACCAGAACCCAGCUGUGUGUCCUUUAAGAGCGACUGGUCAAAGGGUGACAUCAUUGACUUCAAAUCUUCAGGACCUGCAUCCUCAGAGAGAGUGGACCAGCAGAACUCAGAGGUUCCCAGAG